rnacentral:rRNA from 1 species
GACGAACGCUGGCGGCGUGCUUAACACAUGCAAGUCGAACGAAGUGGCGAACGGGUGAGUAACGCGUAAUCACCCUGCCCUUCAGAGGGGGACAACAGUUGGAAACGACUGCUAAUACCGCAUACUGAAGGAGGGGAUUGCGUCUGAUUAGCUAGUUGGAGGGGUAACGGCCCACCAAGGCGAUGAUCAGUAGGCGGUCGGGGGUGGGGAACGGCCACAUAGGGAAUGAGACAAGGCCCAAGCUCCGUAGGGAAGCAGCAGGGGGGAAUCUUCCGCAAUGGACGAAAGGCUGACGGGGCAACGCCGGGUGAGUGAUGACGGCCUUCGGGUUGUAAAGCUCUGUUAAUCGGGACGCGGUACCGGAAUAGAAAGCCACGGCUAACUACGUGCCAGCAGCCGCGGUAAUAC